rnacentral:sRNA from 1 species
UGAACCUCCUUGGCCUGGGCGAAGCUGUGUGGACCAAGCAAGUCAGGAGUGUGGCCAUGUUUUCUGAGCAGGCUGCCCAGAGGGCCCACACUCUACUGUCCCCACCAUCAGCCAACAAUGCCACCUUUGCCCGGGUGCCAGUGGCAACCUACACCAACUCCUCACAACCCUUCCGGCUAGGAGAGCGCAGCUUUAGCCGGCAGUAUGCCCACAUUUAUGCCACCCGCCUCAUCCAAAUGAGACCCUUCCUGGAGAACCGGGCCCAGCAGCACUGGGGUAGUGGAGUGGGAGUGAAGAAGCUGUGUGAACUGCAGCCUGAGGAGAAGUGCUGUGUGGUGGGCACUCUGUUCAAGGCCAUGCCGCUGCAGCCCUCCAUCCUGCGGGAGAUCAGCGAGGAGCACAACCUGCUCCCCCAGCCUCCUCGGAGUAAAUACAUACACCCAGAUGACGAGCUGGUCUUGGAAGAUGAACUGCAGCGUAUCAAACUAAAAGGCACCAUUGACGUGUCAAAGCUGGUUACGGGGACUGUCCUGGCUGUGUUUGGCUCCGUGAGAGACGACGGGAAGUUUCUGGUGGAGGACUAUUGCUUUGCUGACCUUGCUCCCCAGAAGCCCGCACCCCCACUUGACACAGAUAGGUGAGCAGCAGUUAUCGGGAGCUGGAACCAGCUCAUGGUCAGUGGAAUCUUUGAGUUGCACCUAGGAGGG